rnacentral:misc_RNA from 1 species
AACCAUAGAAACCUGCGGAGUACCUGCGGAAGGAUCAUUACAGAGUUGCAAGACUCCCUAAACCAUUGUGAACGUUACCUAAACCGUUGCUUCGGCGGGCGGCCCGGGUCCUUCCCGGCGCCCCUCGGCCCUCGCGGGCGCCCGCCGGAGGUAAACCAAACUAUUGCAUUGUAUGGCCUCUCUGAGUCUUCUGUACUGAAUAAGUCAAAACUUUUAGCAACGGAUCUCAGAUCGGAAGAG